UUCCGGUUGAUCCCGCCGGACCUGACUGCUAUCGGAUUGAUACUAAGCCAUGCGAGUCAUUGUAGUAAUACAAGGCAGACGGCUCAGUAACGCGUAGUCAACCUACCCUAUGGACGGGGAUAACCUCGGGAAACUGAGAAUAAUACCCGAUAGAACAUUAUACCUGGAAUGGUUUAUGUUUCAAAUAAUUUAUUGCCGUAGGAUGGGACUGCGGCCUAUCAGUUUGUUGGUGAGGUAAUGGCCCACCAAGACUAUUACAGGUACGGGCUCUGAGAGGAGUAGCCCGGAGAUGGGUACUGAGACACGGACCCAGGCCCUAUGGGGCGCAGCAGGCGAGAAAACUUUGCAAUGUGCGAAAGCACGACAAGGUUAAUCCGAGUGGUUUCUGCUAAAGGAACCUUUUGUCAGUCCUAGAAACACUGGUGAAUAAGGGGUGGGCAAGUUCUGGUGUCAGCCGCCGCGGUAAAACCAGCACCUCAAGUGGUCAGGAUGAUUAUUGGGCCUAAAGCAUCCGUAGCCUGCUUUGUUAGUUUUCGGUUAAAUCCAUACGCUUAACGUAUGGGCUGCCGGGAAUACUGCAAAGCUAGGGAGUGGGAGAGGUAGACGGUACUCGGUAGGAAGGGGUAAAAUCCUUUGAUCUAUUGAUGACCACCUGUGGCGAAGGCGGUCUACCAGAACACGUCCGACGGUGAGGGAUGAAAGCUGGGGGAGCAAACCGGAUUAGAUACCCGGGUAGUCCCAGCUGUAAACUAUGCAAACUCGGUGAUGCAUUGGCUUGAUGCCAAUGCAGUGCCGCACGGAAGCCGUUAAGUUUGCCGCCUGGGAAGUACGUACGCAAGUAUGAAACUUAAAGGAAUUGGCGGGGGAGCACCACAAGGGUGAAGCCUGCGGUUCAAUUGGAGUCAACGCCGGA
rnacentral:rRNA from 1 species